rnacentral:rRNA from 1 species
AGGACACAUGAACAUCGACAUUUCGAACGCACAUUGCGGUCCUCGGAUACUGUUCCUGGACCACUCCUGGCUGAGGGUCGUA